rnacentral:rRNA from 1 species
GACGAACGCUGGCGGCGUGCUUAACACAUGCAAGUCGAACGGAAAGGCCCUGCUUGUGUGGGGUGCUCGAGUGGCGAACGGGUGAGUAACACGUGAGUAACCUGCCCUUGACUUUGGGAUAACUUCAGGAAACUGGGGCUAAUACCGGAUAGGAGCUCCUGCUGCAUGGAGGGGGUUGGAAAGUUUCGGCGGUUGGGGAUGGACUCGCGGCUUAUCAGCUUGUUGGUGGGGUAGUGGCUGACCAAGGCUUUGACCGGUAGCCGGCCUGAGAGGGGGGACAGCCUCAUUGGUACUGCGAGACGGCGCAGACUCCUACGGGAGGCAGCAGGCGGGAAUAUUGCACAAUGGGCGGGAGCCUGAUGCAGCAGCGCCGCGUGCGGGAUGACGGCCUUCGGGUUGUAAACCGCUUUCGCCUGUGACGAAGCGUGAGUGACGGUAAUGAAUAAAGAAGCACCGGCUAACUACGUG